GACGAACGCUGGCGGCGUGCCUAAUACAUGCAAGUCGAGCGAAGUUUUUCUGGUGCUUGCACCGGAAAAACUUAGCGGCGAACGGGUGAGUAACACGUAAAGAACCCGCCUCAUAGACUGGGACAACUAUUGGAAACGAUAGCUAAUACUGGAUAACAGCAUUAACUGCAUGGUUGAUGUUUAAAAGUUGGUUUUGCUAACACUAUGAGAUGGCUUUGCGGUGCAUUAGCUAGUUGGUGGGGUAAAGGCCUACCAAGGCGACGAUGCAUAGCCGACCUGAGAGGGUGAUCGGCCACACUGGGACUGAGACACGGCCCAGACUCCUACGGGAGGCAGCAGUAGGGAAUCUUCCGCAAUGGGCGAAAGCCUGACGGAGCAACGCCGCGUGAGUGAAGAAGGAUUUCGGUUCGUAAAGCUCUGUUGUUAGGGAAGAAUGAUUGUGUAGUAACUAUACACAGAGAGACGGACCUAACCAAAAGCC
rnacentral:rRNA from 1 species